rnacentral:rRNA from 1 species
GGCGGACGGGUGAGUAACACGUGGGUAACCUACCCAUCAGAGGGGGAUAACACUUGGAAACAGGUGCUAAUACCGCAUAACAGUUUAUGCCGCAUGGCAUAAGAGUGAAAGGCGCUUUCGGGUGUCGCUGAUGGAUGGACCCGCGGUGCAUUAGCUAGUUGGUGAGGUAACGGCUCACCAAGGCCACGAUGCAUAGCCGACCUGAGAGGGUGAUCGGCCACACUGGGACUGAGACACGGCCCAGACUCCUACGGGAGGCAGCAGUAGGGAAUCUUCGGCAAUGGACGAAAGUCUGACCGAGCAACGCCGCGUGAGUGAAGAAGGUUUUCGGAUCGUAAAACUCUGUUGUUAGAGAAGAACAAGGACGUUAGUAACUGAACGUCCCCUGACGGUAUCUAACCAGAAAGCCACGGCUAACUACGUGCCAGCAGCCGCGGUAAUACGUAGGUGGCAAGCGUUGUCCGGAUUUAUUGGGCGUAAAGCGAGCGCAGGCGGUUUCUUAAGUCUGAUGUGAAAGCCCCCGGCUCAACCGGGGAGGGUCAUUGGAAACUGGGAGACUUGAGUGCAGAAGAGGAGAGUGGAAUUCCAUGUGUAGCGGUGAAAUGCGUAGAUAUAUGGAGGAA